rnacentral:ribozyme from 11 species
AAGAAAGGAAGAAGGGAAGGAAGACCAUGAACGGACCAACCACUUGUCCAUGUUUCUUUCUUUUUCUCUUUCUUUCUUUCUCAUUUUGACCGUCAAUCGAAAGGAAAAAAAUAAAUAUGUAGAGGAAGGGC